AUCGAUUUUUGGCCUUUGGCUCAGAUCGAGUGUAGUAUCUGUUCUUAUCGGUUUAAUAUCUGUAUACGGCCUCUAUCCGAGAACAACAUAUUAGAUGGGUUUUGGGGUAAGGAGAGGGAAUAAGAGCUUGCUCUGUCCACUUCAUGCAUCCACCUGGUAUUGCAGUAUCUCCAAGAAGGGUGCACCCCCU